rnacentral:tRNA from 1 species
GGAGAGGUGUCUGAGUGGUUGAGAGAGCCGGUCUUGAAAACCGGUGACGGCUCCGCCGUCCGGGGGUUCGAAUCCGCCCCUCUCCUCCA